rnacentral:tRNA from 3 species
AGUCGCGUGUUCUAAUGGUUAUGAUUUGUCGUUCACACCGACAAGGUUCCCGGUUCGAUCCCGGGCGCGACUA